rnacentral:rRNA from 1 species
GAUGAACGCUAGCGGCAAGCUUAAUACAUGCAAGUCGAGGGGGCAGCGAUGACUGUAGCAAUACAGUUGAUGGCGACCGGCAAACGGGUGCGGAACACGUACAGAACCUUCCGUUCGAGCGGGGAAUAGCCCAGAGAAAUUUGGAUUAAUACCCCAUAGUAUAGUUGGAGUGGCAUCACUUUAAUAUUAAAGAUUUAUCACUUGAAGAUGGCUGUGCGGCUGAUUAGAUAGUUGGCGGGGUAACGGCCCACCAAGUCUGCGAUCAGUAACUGGGU